CCAUUUACAGUUAUCACAAAAUAGUGGCUAUAUUCCCCGUAUUGUAUAGUUCAUCCUCCUGCCUGUCUUACUGCGGUGGUUUGUUCCUCCCACUCCUUCUCCACUAUGUGUAGCCACCUCCCCCACUGGAAACCCCUAUUUACUUCAAUAUAUCCAGGGGUCUGCUGCUUUUUUGUUACAUAUACUAGUUUGUGGUAUUUUGUUAGAUUCCUCGUGUAAGUGAUAUCAUAUAGUAUUGCCGCUGUUUUCUCCUACUUAAUAAUUAUGUUUAGUCUUUCGUUUUAUCUAACCAAAAGUAUCUAAAACACACCAACUGGGAAAUGAAAAAAGGGUACAAAUGAACUUAUCUACAAAACAAACAAAAUUAUAGAUGUAGAAAGCAAUCUUAUGGUUAUCUGGGGUAAGGCGGGGAGGGAUGAAUUGGAAGCCUGAGGUUGUGUAUAAAAUAGACGAGGAAUAACGGCCUUCUGUAGCACGGGGAGCUCUACUCAGUACUCUGUGAUGACCUAUAUGGAAGAAGAAUCUAGAGAAGAGUGGAUAUAUGUAUAACUGACUCACUUUGCUAUAUACCUGAAGCUAACACAACAUUGUAAAUCAACUGUACCCCUAGGGAAAACAAAUUUUAAGUAAUGAAAAGAACAAAACUCUCAAUGGAAAAGAAAAUGAAAGUCAAAGCAAAAUACAUGUACCAGAUACAUACCAGUGUUUGAUAUAUAUUAUAAUAGUAUGUAUAAUAAAAAAUCCAUAUAUAACAUGGGGUUUCCCAGGUGACACGGUAGUAAAGAAUCCGCCUGCCAAUGCAGGAGAUGCAAGGAUGCAGGUUGAAUCUCUGUGUCACGAAGAUCCCCUGGAGUAGGAAAUGACAACCCACUCCAGUGCUCUUGUCUGGAAAAUUCCAUGGACAGAGGAACCUAAAGGGCUACAUAGUCUAUGGGGGUCACGGUCAGACGCGUAUGUUUGUAUGCAUAAUAUAUAUUUUCCGUGGGUUUCUUAUAGAUAAAUUAAUGAUGGAACAAAGCAAGCCCUGAAACCCUUGAACUGUUGGGUUGCCCAGUCCAAGGGAUGCUGAUAUUUGUACUACACAAGAUAGCAACCAGUUAAACGUGAAUUGUUCAGAAAACAAUAUCAUAUGCAUCUUUUAAAAGAUGUUUGGUCGCCAACCAGCAGAAGUCAUUACGGUUUAAUUUCUUCUUAUAUAUCUGUUCGAAAUCUAUGCUAUCUUUGCGAAAUCUUAGAAGACGACAUUGUAUAUUAUUGUUUAAGAAGCCGCAUCAUUGAGGGAAGUUAACAGUAGAGAUUUGGAUAUCCUUAUUAAUUAUAAAUACCAACUCCUCUGUCUAAGAGAGAGGACUGAUUUAAAACUGGGGAGACAUCACUAACAUGAUAACAAGGAUCAGGAGACUCAUAUUACCAGCUUGGCUUACUGUGUUGGCCCCUAAACUGUGAUUUCCUCCAAGACUGGCAAACAUUUAGAAAUUGAACUUUUGCUGUUAUAAGCAACACGCGCACUCUGCCUUCCUGGCAGUGAAUAGACGUGACCCUGGGGAAGAAAAGGAUUACGAAACGGUCCCGUGGUCUUCUGCCUGGUUCUGUGCUGACUGAGACUCCAGCCGGGUGCAGAGCAGGGGAGGGGCCAGAUGGUGAGCGGGCAGGACCCUAUGAGGCUUUCCCAGAAAAGAACCCCAGCCAAGCUUUCCGCCUGCCUUUUGUCUGUAGAAAAACUUUCAUCAAAGAAUAAAUUUGGGGACUUCCUUGGGGGUCCAGUGGGUGAGGACUCUGAACUUCCACUGCAGGGAACGCAGGUUUGAUCUUUGUUUGGGGAACAAGAAUCCUACUUACCGUGCGAUGUGGCCAGAAAAUAAAAAGUAAAAAAUUUUUUAAAAGCAUGAAUUUAAUCAGAGAAGUGAGAAAAUGCAGAAAGAAAAGGAAAACAGUCAAACAAGCCAAACUAAUAAUACUUCAGCCAGUAGACAAAGUCAAGGACCUUUAUUUAGUUCUUCCUCAAGGUCUAUAGAUAUUGUUCUGUGCCUUAUAUGUUAACUGUUUAGUGGAUACUGAAACCCCUACCAGGCGGAGGAAGUUAACUGUAUGUUGCCCACAAGUACGCCAACCCCAGACCACUUGGAACCAGAAGGUUGAUGACGCUGCCUCUUCGUUACCUCACCACCAACCACGGCUCCGUAAACAAUUGUGAGACUCCUCAGUACCACCACCAGGCUGGGACACAGGCUUAAGGCGUUGCCUGCUGUGGCCCUCUUUGCCUGGCCAAACAGUAAAGCUAAUUUCUUUCUACUUCACCCAACGCUUCCUUAAAGGUUUCAUCCCGCACCACUGUAUGGAGGCCGGAUUUUGGCAACAAAUUGGGCGUUCAAUAUAGGGUUGACUUAGGGGCAGCCCCACGGGGGUCCCCUGGCUUGACCAGACUCUCCGAGGUCAUUCCUCCAUGCCAGCCUCUUUUGAGAAGGCAGAGGGUUGGAAGAUUCCUUCAGCGGCCAGGUUGCCUGGGACCCUUAUCAAGAAGGCUGAGCUCAUCAUACCAGCCUAUACCAGCCUGAAUUUUUCUGCUCCAAAGAAUUAUUUGGAGGAAGGAGAAAGCAUCGGGGACAUGGAGACACCUUGGCCAGCAUCUGGAGGCCAAGAAUCCCGGCGUCUUUCCUGAGGUUCAGCAAUAGCCUUUCAUCUUGGGGGCUCGUCCGGGAUUCUUCAGGACAAGGCAAGGAUGCUUGGAGCUCUAGUUCUCUGUUCUCCUAGCGAAUAUGUUUCCUGCUGUACUUCACUAACUCUACAGUGUGCUUGUGUGAAUGAAUGACAUGCCCCGCGCAAAGCAAGUGAGGAGCCCUUCUCUGCAGUUCCGUGGUGACCUCAUACGGCUUAUGGCAGACACCUGUCAGGGGUUUAUACCAUCUGCCAAUGCCAAGAGGCACCCAAUGUCUCCUUCGGGGACCGACCAGAAAUGGGCAAAGCGUGUGGACCGAGCUCUCCUUUCUCGGUCAAACUUUUUGGUCUCUUUGACCAUCUCCUAACUCCUUGGAAUUAGAAGUACUAACCUAAUCUGUCGGAUCAUAGACUUUCAAGGGACUUGUGAUCUAUGCUGUUACUGGGUACUAUGACUUAGGUCCCAAACUUGGAUUGGUAGUCAGGAAGCGCCUAGCCUCGCUAGGCAUGGAAAAUUUGGAAGCUAGAUUAAGUUCUAGCUCCAAAAGCAUCUCUGAGGUUAAAGGUUACUCAGAUUAAAACUAUAAUGGGGUUUUUUCCUUUGGUAACGCUGGCUUUUAGUGGACCAGAGGAGGCUCUUAUACUGGUGUGGUGAUGCUUGGAAGGAACAUCUCAGUUUUAUGUUUGUAUCGGACUUAUUGUGGUCAGAAAUAUACUGAGGGUCGUGCACAGGCACUCAGGUGACGAGAAUGUUUCCCCCAGCAGUCUUAGCUUGGGAGGCAUUCUGGAAGGUUACUCUGAUUGCACCCUGGGUGGCAUCAGAGGUAAGCAAGGUGUUAAUGGUGAGGAGCUGGACGUCAGUCAGGGAUGCCAUCAGGUCUACCCCUGGUGCGUCUCCACCCCAUCUCGGUGGUAGAACCGGGAGGGCCGAAUAUGUCACCUGCGUCAGUAAGGGACAGACUAAGUCCGACCAGGAAAGAAAAGCUUUGGUGUAAAGUCUGUCUACACCCUCAUCUAGAGCAGGGAGGAAUGCCUCUGGUACAAAGAGGGCGCUGGUCGCUUUUUUUCUCUCUUGUAGAUGGGAGCUGACAAUUCCAGCCUCACCCCUUUGAACUGUAUCCUGAAAAACUGGGAUAGGUUUGAUCCCCAGGGCUUAAAGAAGACACACCUGGUCUUCCUAUGUGAUACUGCAUGACCGCAGUACCCACUGGAAGACGGUGAACGGUGGCCAGUUGGAGGGUCUCCUGUCCUAAUGAGGGCUCAAACUGUCCCCAAAAGGGAGGGACUGUCCCCCUUUGAAUGUAUUUAUCGAAGGCCUUUCUUAUGCACGGACAUUGUUAUAGACCCCGAAGCCUUGGAAUUAACUAAUUAUGUAACUCAGCUCUCAGCUUUUCAACUGGCAUUAACAGAACUCCAGGAGACGACUCCUGACCCAGCCUCUGAGUCAAGCAAGCCUCUAUUUAAGCCAGGAACCGAGGUCCUCAUAAAAACAUUGGGGUCUGGGGGCUCAUCCCUCAAGCCCCUCUGGGAAGGCCCUUACCAGGUUAUUCUUUCUUCUCCCACAGCUCUCAGAGUGCCAGGAAUUUAUUCGUGGGUACAUCACACUUGAGUUAAGAGGUGGCACCCUGACCAGAACCAAGUGACUUCGUUUUAUGUCUUUACUUUCUAUGCUCUGACUUUGUACU